UGUUUUGUAAAAAUGGUUAGGGGUGUUAGGCUUCCGACUCAGAGGUUCUGGGUUCGAUUCCCAGGCAGGGCAC